rnacentral:tRNA from 1 species
UCCUCCUUGGCGCAGCGGUAGCGCAGUUGACUGUUAAUCAAUGGGUCCCAGGUUCGAAUCCUGGAGGGGGAG